CAGUCGCCGCGGUAAUACGAAGGGGGCUAGCGUUGCUCGGAAUGACUGGGCGUAAAGGGCGCGUAGGCGGCAUGUACAGUCAGAAGCGAAAUUCCUGGGCUCAACCUGGGGACUGCUUUUGAUACGUGCAGGCUAGAGUGAGGAAGAGGGUUGUGGAAUUUCCAGUGUAGAGGUGAAAUUCGUAGAUAUUGGAAAGAACACCGGUGGCGAAGGCGGCAACCUGGUCCUUUACUGACGCUGAGGCGCGAAAGCGUGGGGAGCAAACAGGAUUAGAUACCCCAGUAGUCCCUGUCUCUUAUAC
rnacentral:rRNA from 1 species